rnacentral:rRNA from 1 species
GACGAACGCUGGCGGCGUGCUUAACACAUGCAAGUCGAACGGACAGACAGAGAGCUUGCUCUCUUGAAGUUAGUGGCGAACGGGUGAGUAACGCGUAAUCAACCUGCCCUUCAGAGGGGGAUAACAACGGGAAACCGUUGCUAAUACCGCGUACGAUUCAUGAACGGCAUCGUUUAUGAAUGAAAGGUGGCCUCUAUGUAUAAGCUAUCGCUGAAGGAGGGGAUUGCGUCUGAUUAGCUAGUUGGAGGGGUAACGGGCCACCAAGGCAAUGAUAAGUAGCGAAUCUGAGAGGAGGACAGGCAACAUUGGGACUGAGACAAGGCCCAAACGCCUACGGGAGGCAGCAGUGGGGAAUCUUCCGCAAUGGACGAAGGUCUGACGGAGCAACGCAGAGGGAGUGAUGAAGGUCUGCGGAUUGUAAAGCUCUGUUAAUCGGGACGAAAGAGUUCUGCGUGAAUAAUGCAGAAAAGUGACGGUACCGGAAUAGAAAGCCACGGCUAACUACGUGCCAGCAGCCGCCGUAA